GGAAGUCUGGGUAGAAGAGCCCACAUUGCCAGUAGCCCCGCAGCACCCCAGCUUUGACCGAUGGCCCUGGAGGCUGCCCACCCCCCGACCUCUCACCCUCUGGGGGGAGAAGGGGCCCUAAUUCCACCGAGCUAUCGCCCCCGCUGUCCGCAACAAAUCCCCCAAGGGCUCCCCCUUUGCCAGGCGUCAACAUGGCGGCCCUUACACGAGUGGACGCAGGGUCCCGGCCCAAUUCCCUCGUCCUUCCCGCCGGAGUGGGCCUUGCCGGCGCCAAGCUGCUGCCACUCACCUCGGCAAUGGUCGGGCUUCCCUUUCCACAGAGGCCAGCGGACUCCCCGGACUUGAAGCGCCGGGAGAUUCCUCGCGCCCGCCUGAGUAGCCCUUUACAUUGGAGGAAGCAGAUUCGCCGCGAGCAGUGGUUUGGGUUUUUUUUUUUUUUUUUUUAACUUAAAAAAAAAAGUAAUCCAUGUGUAUUGAACCUCCAGGGUAUGUCCUCUCCGAAGAGCAUGAGCUUUUAGCUUUUCUAACUUUUUGCACGAAGACAAACUCCUAAAUUGAACGAUUGAGUUGAAAGACUAUCGAAUGUGCGGUUAGUGCUCUGGGAGGAGCCGAAUCACCCUCCCGAGCGAAGGGAUGUGUCAGCGCUGUGGGAGUGUCGGUUCUCAGACUCACUUUGGGAAUCGGCUUGUAUUGAAGUGUCUGCAGAGGGUGCGUGAGCCAGUUCACACUGAAGAGGAGGGAGCCAGGAAGGGUUGACAACCCUGACUCCAUCUUGCGUCAGCCACCAUUUUGUGGAGUUCGCGGAAGGGCAGCCGCCUCUUGGAAUGAACACGCCGCCUCACAGACUUGACCUAAAGAGGUCAACCGACCACCCCGCAGCCCAUGCCAGAUGAAAGUUCUCCCUCGCUGGGGCACGCUUCUGAGGUUUUUCCUUAGCAGUUUGGAGCAGCCAAAGAAAAGAUGUGAAGCCACCUCAGGCACCUCCCGUGGACCUCUGGACCUGCCCAAAACUUCUAAAUCUUGCAAAAGACUUUCCUAACCAAAAGAAAAUUCAGAAGAGUUCACCUGAAAUUCAGGAGAGUUCACCUGAUCUUAGGGUCUCAAGAUCUCAGAGUCAUGAUUUCAAGCCCCAUGUUGGGCAUGGAGCCUACUUAAAAAAAAAUUAUACGGAACCGCCAUCUUCCAGUAAUUCGCCAAAAUGACCAACACAAAGGGAAAGAGGAGAGGUACCCGCUAUAUGUUCUCUAGGCCUUUUAGAAAACAUGGAGUUGUUCCUUUGGCCACAUACAUGCGAAUCUAUAAGAAAGGUGAUAUUGGAUAUUGGAAUGGGCACUGUUCAAAAAGGAAUGCCCCACAAAUGUUACCAUGGCAAAACUGGAAGGGUCUACAAUGUUACUCAGCAUGCUUUUGGCAUUGUUGUAAACAAACAAGUUAAGGGCAAGAUUCUUGCCAAGAGAAUUAAUGUCCGCAUUGAGCAUAUUAAACACUCAAAGAGCC